rnacentral:misc_RNA from 1 species
GCCUUAGCUAGAACUAAUACAGCUCCUACCCCUUGAGAUGAAUCUCUCCACGAGGAUUGGUUAUUUUCCUGUUGUCGUGCAUUGGAUGGAUACGACUCACGAGCUGGGUCCCGAUACCUCUCCUCUCCACCAGCUGGCUUACGCCAAUCACGACUGUCCGGUUCAUAGUUGCGGCUCUGUGCCUGACUUGAAAAAUUGGCAUCAUUUCGCGCCCAAGGUUGCUCAACACCAAAAAAUUCAGUAUCAAUUUCACUCUUGACUUUCAGUAUCUCCUCAGAAGCUUCGGUAGCCCCGCGGUGUAGUAGCAGUUGAUCCCUUGUAUACUGAACUCGCUCAUGAGCCUCAUACCGCGAAUCGCCACUCUUGAGUUGGAGGGCACCGCCAUGGGGGCGGAGGACGGGGAUAUCGCCGCCUGCGGCGGCGGCAGCAGCAGCGAACGCGGGGGAGUCGAAGCGGGGGGCGAGGACUCUGCUGCCGCGGUUGCCGCCACCACCAGGCCUCAGGCUCAGCACCGUCUGAUCUGCCUGCAUACCUCGCCGGAAAACUGUCGCUUGCGGUGUCGUCGGUCGGAGGGGGAACGGCUCUCUCUGGCUCUCCGUUCGGCGGAG